CAGCAGCCGCGGUAAAACGAAGGGUGCAAGCGUUAAUCGGAAUUACUGGGCGUAAAGCGUGCGUAGGCGGUUUGUUAAGUCUGUUGUGAAAUCCCCGGGCUCAACCUGGGAAUGGCAAUGGAUACUGGCAAGCUAGAGUGUGUCAGAGGAUGGUGGAAUUCCCGGUGUAGCGGUGAAAUGCGUAGAGAUCGGGAGGAACAUCAGUGGCGAAGGCGGCCAUCUGGGACAACACUGACGCUGAGGCACGAAAGCGUAGGGAGCAAACAGGAUUAGAUACCCCAGUAGUCCCUGUCUCUUAUAC
rnacentral:rRNA from 1 species